rnacentral:rRNA from 1 species
AGCGAACGCUGGCGGCGUGCUUAACACAUGCAAGUCGAGCGAGAAAGGGGGCUUCGGCCCCUGAGUACAGCGGCGAACGGGUGCGUAAUACAUGAGCAAUCUACCCUUGAGGCGGGAAUAACCCAGCGAAAGUUGGGCUAAUACCGGAUAAGACCACAAGAGGAGACCCUAGAGGCUAAAGGCAGCUCUCUUUUGGGGGCGGCCCUUUGAGGAGGAGCUCAUGUCCUANCAGCUAGUUGGUAGGGUAACGGCCUACCAAGGCGAAGACGGGUAGCUGGUCUUAGAGGAUGAUCAGCCACACGGGGACUGAGACACGGCCCCGACUCCUACGGGAGGCAGCAGUGGGGAAUAUUGGGCAAUGGGGGAAACCCUGACCCAGCGACGCCGCGUGGGUGA